rnacentral:rRNA from 1 species
AGCCGGAUAUUCAAGUUCCCGGGAAAAUCCAGCGGCUUAACCGUUGGAAUUCCGGGGAUACUGUAUGUCUCGAGGUCGGGGGACGGUAUGGGUACUCCGGGUGUAGGGGUGAAAUCUUCUGAUCCCCGGGGGACCACCUGUGGUGAAAACGCAUACCGAAAACGAGCCUGACGGUGAGGGACGAAGCCUGAGGGAGCGAACGGGAUUAGAUACCCCGGUAGUCUCAGGUGUAAACAAUGUCCGUUUGGUGUUGCAUACACUACGGGUGUGUGCAGUGCCGAAGCGAAGGCGUUAAACGGACCGCCUGGGGAGUAUGACCGCAAGGUUGAAACUUAAAGGAAUUGACGGGAGAGCGCACAACCAGGGGAGCAUGUGGUUCAAUUCGUUAAUAAGCGAUGUACCUUACCUGGGUUUGACAUGCUAGCGUCCUAUUCUGAUGAAAGUCGGAAAAUUUGUAAAAAGGCUAGUACAGCUGUUGCAUGGCUGUUGUCAGCUCGUGCCGUGGGGUGUCCACUUAAGUGUGGAAACGAGCGCAACCCUUAUUCUGUGUUCAAUAGUCACAGGAAACUGCCUCGCGUAGAGUGGGGAGGAAGGAGGGGAUGACUUCAAGUCAGCAUGACGCUUAUGUCCAGGGCAACACACAUCCUACAAUGGGGAGUAACAACGGGUCGCCAAGCCGCAAGGCGGAGCUAAUCCCAACAAAACUCCCCCCAGUUCAGAUUGGAGGCUGCAACUCGCCUCCAUGAAGCCGGACUUGGUAGUAAUCGCAGAUCAGCAGGCUGCGGUGAAUACGUUCUCGCUCUUUGUACACACCGCCCAUCAAGCCAGCAAAGUUGGGGGCGCCUGAUAUCCCGAUUUUUUCGGGACAAGGGCGAACUCAGCGAUGAGGGCUAAGUUGUGAAUUUGUUGCAACUUACAGAAGCAAUUUUGUAAAAAAAUCUCGCUG